GACGUAGGGCGCGAGCGUUGUCCGGAUUUAUUGGGCGUAAAGAGCUCGUAGGCGGCUUGUCGCGUCGUCCGUGAAAACUUGGGGCUCAACCCCAAGCUUGCGGUCGAUACGGGCAUGACUGGAGUUCGGCAGGGGAGACUGGAAUUCCUGGUGUAGCGGUGAAAUGCGCAGAUAUCAGGAGGAACACCGGUGGCGAAGGCGGGUCUCUGGGCCGAUACUGACGCUGAGGAGCGAAAGCGUGGGGAGCGAACAGG
rnacentral:rRNA from 1 species